rnacentral:rRNA from 1 species
AUGUGCAACUGCUUUCCCCCGUUAUCUGCUCAAUGCCGUGACAGCAAAAAGAGUCACACGCCAUCUGGCCUCAGCGUCGGCCCGAUGGCUGCUGUUGCACACGCCAAGGACGCCGCCAGCGUCACCGUCGAGCUCGCGGACGAGGCGCGCGUCCGCGUCCAGGCCUGCAGCGACUGGAUCAUCGACUCGGUGGCAAACGGCGGUGACAUCUACGGCGUCACCACGGGCUUCGGUGACAUCUACGAAGGAAAAUGCAGACAAUAA